GCCCAGGUGGCGGAACUGGUAGACGCACUACCUUGAGGUGGUAGCGCCGAAAGGCGUGGGGGUUCGAGUCCCCCCUUGGGCACCA
rnacentral:tRNA from 4 species